CUCAGUCGUAUCCAACUCUGUGACCCCAGGGACUGUAGUCUGUGAGGCUCCUCUGUCCAUGGAUUCUCCAGGCCAGGAUACUGGAGUGGGGAAAGGCUACCCACUCCAGUAUUGUGGCCUGGAGAAUUCCAUGGACUGUACAGUCCGUGGGAUCGCAAAGAGUUGGACACGACUGAGCAACUUUCACUCACUCACUCACUCAGUCAAGGCUAUGGUUUUUUCAUUGGUCAUGUAUGGAUGUGAGAGUUCGACUAUAAAGAAAAAUGAGCACCGAAAAAUUGAUACUUUUGAACUGUGGUGUUGGAGAAGACUCUUGAAAGUCCCUUGGACUACAAGGAGAUCCAACCAGUCCAUCCUAAAGGAAGUCAGUCCUGAAUGUUCAUUGGAAGGACUGAUGUUGAAGGUGAGACUCAAAUACUUUGGCCACCUGAUGCGAAGAGCUGACUCAUUUGAAAAGACCCUGAUGCUGGGAGGGAUUGAGGGCAGGAGGAGAAGGGGACAACAGAGGAUAAGAUGGCUGGAUGGGAUCACCGACUCGAUGGACAUGGGUUUGGGUGGUCUCCAGGAGUUGUUGAUGGACAGGGAGGCCUGGCUUGCUGCUGCUCAUGUGGUCACAAAGAGUCGGACACGACUGAGUGACUGAACUGAACUGAACUUGAUUAAAUACGGUUUUAUUAAGGGACUGGUCUUCCAAAAUUUGCUGCCUACCUGAUACUUAGUCAACUCCAAAACCUGAAUAACAGUAUUUUUAGAUAAUAUGCUAUCACUGAUUUUCAAAAGGAGCUCAAUAUCUUUCAUCUCAAGGUCAAUUUUAGUUUCUAGAUUCUUCGUAUCCCCACAUUGUCCCUCACUACCCACCAUUUGUCAUGAAUAUUAAUAAGGAUAGAUACUUGCUUUUUGCUGUACUUUAGUAUUCUAGGAGGAAAGUAAAAAUCCUGGGAGAUAUUGCCAUUUUUUUGAGGUUUAUUUAUCUGGCAAAUGUUUUUGACAGACCAGUUACAAUUUUGUGUAAUGUUAUUAAUAUAAAAUUGGAAGUCUGCCAUGAAAAUGCCUUCAGUAGGGCUGAUAGACAUGAAGAACAGGUAAG
ensembl:lncRNA